AUAAUAGUUUAGUUAGAAUAUAAGUUUACUAAACUCACCAUUUUCUUUUAAGUAAAAUUGUAUAUAAUUUUCUAUAAUAUGUCAGUACAGAAGACUGAAAUGAUUGGUCCCUUAAAACAUCUGAAAAACAUUUAAAUAGAUGUAAAGUCAGGGAAUUGGUGUACCUGCCUGAUGACAGUUUAAAAGAGACAUGGCUGAUACAGCUGUAGCAGAGCAGCAUGCAGACUUCGUUGCUUGAAGAUUCCUGUAUGCAGCAGGUUCAUUAUAGCAGAGUUUUUAAACCACUCUGCUGAUAGUCAUCAGGAUCAUUUGGACUUCUUAUGAGAGGCUGAUGUGUGCUCUGCAGUGCAAGUCCCAGGC
rnacentral:lncRNA from 1 species